UAAUGCACUAGCUAUUUCGUAUAUUCCAGUGUUCGAUGGGAAGACUAAACACUUCAACAUCAAGCUAUUUUUCUUGAGGUGCUGAAUAAUAAAGAUUAUUUACAAGAAGUAUAUGACCGCACUCCACUGGGGCGCCUGGGAGAACCAUCUGAGGUUUCAUCUCUUGUGGGAUUCCUUUGUUUGCCUGCAUCUUCCUACAUCACCGGUCAGAUAAUCUGUGUUGAUGGUGGAAUGUCUGUAAAUGGCUUCUACCCUCACCAUGACUAGAGGAAUAACUGCCCGUAGAGUAAUGCUACAGAUUUGCAGGAGAAAAGUUUGUCGCGUGUGCAUCUCAAAUGCAUCAUUGGCUGGACAUUCCAUGAGUAGUGGAAAAGUUGCUUCUUAGCAGGUUUGUUAUUUUGUUUUGAAAACUGGAUCAAUUUUUCACAUGACUUUGUGAGCAUGCUAAGAGAUUUUAUUUUGUUCUGUCAGAAUUUCGGCAAAUAUGAGGCCACUCAUUAAUUUUCACCUUCAGUUACUCCAUUAAAUGUUUUCUCAUUUGAAUAAUUUGAGCUAAUAAUAUUAAUAAUA